GAAAUCAAUAUUAUGAGUUUUAAUUAAUAAUAUCAUGGUAUUCUUAUAAAUUAUGGUAUCAAUUUGACAAAUUUUACGUUUAUAAUUUUCGAAUCUCCUAACAAGCAGUCAAUAAUAUUCUAUAAAUAACCAAGUGGUCGUGAUCUACUGGUUUCCACUUGAGGAGGAAUUGCCUUGUUGGUCUAGGUUAGGGAUCGAUUCUCCUCAAGUGCCAAAUUGUUAGUCAUUUCCAUAAACUAAACGAACUUUUCGGCGUUUUUUUUU
rnacentral:sRNA from 1 species